UAUGUUUGGUCAAUGAUUGCAUGAUUUCCAUGAUUGUACUACAAAAUGUUCAUCAAGAGAAAAUAAAUAAUUAUGUUGAGAUAACUUUUAACGUUGCACAAAAAAUAUUAUGUUGGCCGAGCAAGAGAGAACAGCGUCAAUCGUCUGAGCAUGCGCAAAGGAGUUCUACCAGGCAGCGCUGCAGCAGGCUGGAGUCACGACAUUGCAUUGUCAGCAUUCCUGACAUCGCUGGACAAUCACACCCAGGGGUUGCUAAAGAUGUACAGAGCCAAAAGCAAGACUGGGAAGGUGGAACAACUUGGAUGAACUUCUGGAACAACUGGAUGCCCAGACCACAGAUCUAACUACUCAUUGAAGGUCUGCUGUUCUUAGUGGUCUUCCCCUGUACUUGAGAGAGCCAGCUUCAAUUUCAAAGACUAUUAAGGAUA